rnacentral:rRNA from 1 species
UUAGAGUUUGAUCCUGGCUCAGGAUGACUUUUGGCGGCGCAUUUAAGACAUGCAAGUCGAACGGAGAAAUAUUGAAGUGUUUACACAGAGAUAUUUUUUAGUGGCGGACGGGUGAGUAAUACAUAGGUAACCUGCCUUAGAGCGGGAAAUAACUAAAAGAAAUUUUAGCUAAUGUCCCAUAAGACCACACUACCACAUGGUAGAGAGGUAAAAGGAGAAAUCCACUUUAAGAUGGACCUAUGGCUGAUUAGUUAGUUGGAGUGGUAACGGCACACCAAGGCGAUGAUCAGUAGCCGGGCUGAGAGGCUGGCCGGCCACAUUGGGACUGAGACACGGCCCAGACUCCUACGGGAGGCGGCAGUUGGGAAUAUUGGACAAUGGGGGAAACCCUGAUCCAGUGACGCCGCGUGAAGGAAGAAGGUCUUCGGAUUGUAAACUUAUUUUGUCAGGGAAGAAAAAAAUGACAGUACCUGAAGAAGAAGCACCGGCAAACUAUGUGCCAGCAGCCGCGGUAAUACAUAGGGUGCAAGCGUUAUCCGGAUUUACUGGGUGUAAAGGGCGAGUAGACGGUAAUGUAAGUCAGUUGUGAAAACUUGGGGCUCAACCCCAAGACUGCAACUGAAACUACAUAACUAGAGUGCAGGAGAGGAAAGUGGAAUUCCUAGUGUAGCGGUGAAAUGCGUAGAUAUUAGGAGGAACACCAGUGGCGAAGGCGACUUUCUGGACUGUAACUGACGUUGAGGCGCGAAAGUGUGGGGAGCAAACAGGAUUAGAUACCCUGGUAGUCCACACUGUAAACGAUGGAUACUAGGUGUAGGCAUGCAAGUGUCUGUGCCGGCGCAAACGCAAUAAGUAUCCCACCUGGGGAGUACGACCGCAAGGUUAAAACUCAAAGGAAUUGACGGGGGCCCGCACAAGCAGUGGAGUAUGUGGUUUAAUUCGACGCAACGCGAAGAACCUUACCAAGACUUGACAUGCAAAUGAGUAUCUAAGAAAUUAGAUAGGCCUUCGGGACAUUUGUGCAGGUGAUGCAUGGUUGUCGUCAGCUCGUGUCGUGAGAUGUUGGGUUAAGUCCCGCAACGAGCGCAACCCUCGUGGUUAGUUGCCUUUAAAAGGAACUCUAGCCAGACUGCCGUAGUUAAUACGGAGGAAGGAGAGGAUGAUGUCAAAUCAUCACGUCCCUUAUGUCUUGGGCUACACACGUACUACAAUGGCUAUUACAGAAAGAAGCAAAUACGCAAGUAGGAGCAAAACUAAGAAAAAUAGCCCUAGUUCGGAUUGGAGGCUGCAACUCGCCUCCAUGAAGCUGGAAUUGCUAGUAAUCACAGGUCAGCAUACUGUGGUGAAUACGUUCCCGGGCCUUGCACUCACCGCCCGUCA